ensembl:snRNA U6 U6 spliceosomal RNA
UGCUCACGUCAGUAAUACACUAAAAUUGGAAUGAUAGAGAAAAGAUUAACAUGGCCCCUGCGCAAAGGUGACACACAAAUCCAUGAUGUGUUCCAUAAAUUA